AACAUUGUAAGUAAAUAAUAAUUAUGAAAGCAAAAAAUUAUGGCGGUAUUUUAAGCUUUUCAGAGGAAUUUGCUCUUUAAUGGAUAAAACACCAAAAUCUUACUUAGAUUUGUGAUUUCAAUUUGUAUACCACUAUAAAAACAAUUUAUAACUUUAAUUGUUUAAAUUUACAAAAUUAAAAUAUAUUAAGUCAAGGUGCAGUAAAAAUUUAAGGAUGAAGUGAAUUACAUUACUUUUUAGUGAAAUAAAUUUAUAAUAAUACUUAGGAUUUGAAAGUAAAAUUAAAAUAGGAUGUUAAUUGAAAUAAGC
rnacentral:rRNA from 1 species